AAAAAAAGGGUUAAGGACUUUCCCCGGAUUAAUGUAUACGGARUCGUUGAAAGAAUCCAUACCCAAUAUGAUAUAUUUAAAGUAUUGGGUAUGGAUUCUCUUUUUUUAUCCAAAAUUAACGACGAGAUUUAUUAUCGUUUUUCGCAUGUCUCGCGAAAGUCAGAGGAGGCGCGAAUUCUCCUAAUUUAUGACCCACCAUACGAUCUGUUAUAUAAAUAGGUAAAUGUGCCUUUCCAUUAUGAAUAGCGAUUGUAUGGCCAAUCAUUGUGGGUAUAAUGGUAGAUGCCCGAGACCAAGUUACUAUUAUUUCUUUCUCCUCCCUCAUGUUGAGUUUUUCCAUUUUUCCCGAUAAAUGAUUGGCUACAAAAGGGUUUUUUUUUAGUGAACGUGUCACAGCUGAUUACUCCUUUUUUUACAUUUUAAAGAUUGGCAUUCUAUGUCCAAUAGAAUAUCUCGAUCGAAGUAUGAAGGUAAGAAUAAAUACCAUAAUGAUGAAUGGAAAAAAGAAAAAAUCCUUUUCUUGAUUAGGGGCGGAUGUACCCCAUUGGAUCAAGGCCGUGGAUUGUUAA
rnacentral:misc_RNA from 1 species